GGUCAAGUUAUUAAGGGUGCAGGGCGGAUGCCUUGGCACUAGGAGCCGAUGAAGGACGUGAUAAGCUGCGAUAAGCUUCGGGGAGUUGCACGUAAACUUUGAUCCGAAGAUUUCCGAAUGAGGAAACUCACUUAGAGUAAUGUCUAAGUAUCAUUGAGUGAAUACAUAGCUUAAUGAGGGGAACUCAGGGAACUGAAACAUCUAAGUACCUGAAGGAAGAGAAAGAAAUUCGAUUCCGUAAGUAGCGGCGAGCGAACGCGGAUUAGCCCAAACCAAUAAAGUUUUCUUUAUUGGGGUUGCGGACAUAUCAUAACGAAGAGGUAUCGUAAUUGAAGAGGUUUGGAAAGACCCACCACAGAAGGUAAUAGUCCUGUAUGUUAAACGAGAAGACUUCAGAUAUGAUCCAGAGUACCACGGGACACGUGAAACCCUGUGGGAAGCAGGAGGGACCACCCUCCAAGGCUAAAUACUACCUAGUGACCGAUAGCGUAUAGUACCGUGAGGGAAAGGUGAAAAGAACC
rnacentral:rRNA from 1 species